GCCGGGCUUGGUGGCGCGCGCCUGUAAUCCCAGCUACUCGGGAGGCUGAGGCAGGAGAAUCGCUUGAACCUGGGAGGCGGAGGUGGCAGUGAGCUGAGAUCUGCCACUGCACUCCAGCCUGGGCGACAGAGCGAGACUCCACCUCAA
ensembl:misc_RNA Metazoa_SRP Metazoan signal recognition particle RNA